AAUCAACGCUGGCGGCGUGCCUCAGACAUGCAAGUCGUACGAUUAAAGCUCUCUUCGGAGAGUGUAUAGAGUGGCGCACGGGUGAGUAACACGUAAGUAAUCUACCUUCGAGUGGGGAAUAACAGUCGGAAACGACUGCUAAUACCGCAUAAUGCAGCGGCACCUAAUGGUGACAGUUGUUAAAGCAUUUAUGUGCUUGAAGAGGAGCUUGCGGCAGAUUAGCUAGUUGGUAAGGUAAUGGCUUACCAAGGCAACGAUCUGUAGCCGACCUGAGAGGGUGGUCGGUCACACUGACACUGAAUAAC
rnacentral:rRNA from 1 species